GUGAAGAGAUUAGUCUGUGGCCUUAUGAACAUUCUAAAGUUCAGAGGACCAAGAACUACCUGAAGUCAAAAGGAGCCUGGGAACUGAAUGCAUGUCAGCCAACCUUUGCAUCUAUGCCCCUAAGAAUGAGAAAUAACCUUCAGGGCCCAGCCCUAGCUGAGACAAGAAAUCAACUCUGACAUGAUGCCACCUUUGGACAUGAACUCGAUUCUUCUAUGGCAUGAUCACAAGGAUCCUACGAUCUCUGUGAUUCUCUAUCUAGGACCAUCAAGGGAACCAAUGGAGACAGCCUGCUCUUGUAUUGUGAAAGAAAGACCCCAGUUAUCAUGACAAGAUAUCAAGACAACCAUGUCUUCCUUUCCUCAUGAAAAACCAGAGAAACCCACUAAACAGAUGAGCCCAGGGCAGGGAAGCCAGCCUCUCCUCCUGAGCCUUUUUUGCCUUGCUGGUUUAUGCUUUGAGAUCCAGAACGAGAGUCUUGGACUUAUAACCUUUCCACAACCCUUUGGCAGGUGCUUUGGGACCUUUCCUCAUGCAGAUUCUCAUCACCUCAUGCCCUGGCUAUUGCAAUGCCUUUCUGUGCCUCCUUCGACCACCAUGUUGGAACACAUUGUUCUCAUCCUCCCAUUCUACCAUGGGAAGUCUUCAAAUACUUGA
rnacentral:lncRNA from 1 species